GAUGAACGCUAGCGGCAGGCUUAACACAUGCAAGUCGAGGGGUAUAGGUUUUCGGACCUAGAGACCGGCGCACGGGUGCGUAACGCGUAUGCAAUCUACCUUUCACAGAGGGAUAGCCCAGAGAAAUUUGGAUUAAUACCUCAUAGUAUUAUAGAAUGGCAUCAUUUUAUAAUUAAAGUCACAACGGUGAAAGAUGAGCAUGCGUCCCAUUAGCUAGUUGGUAUGGUAACGGCAUACCAAGGCAACGAUGGGUAGGGGUCCUGAGAGGGAGAUCCCCCACACUGGUACUGAGACACGGACCAGACUCCUACGGGAGGCAGCAGUGAGGAAUAUUGGUCAAUGGGCGCUAGCCUGAACCAGCCAAGUCGCGUGAAGGAUGACAGAUCUAUGGUUUGUAAACUUCUUUUGCAGGGGAGUAAAGUGCGACACGUGUGUUGUAUUGCAAGUACCCUGCGAAUAAGCAUCGGCUAACUCCGUGCCAGC
rnacentral:rRNA from 1 species